GGGCUCGCUUUGGCGGCACAUACACUAAAAUUGGAAUGAUACAGAGAUUAGCAUAGCCCCUGUGCACGGAUGACACACAGAUUCAUGAAGCUUUCCACAUUUUU
ensembl:snRNA U6 U6 spliceosomal RNA